CCAUACACACUGCCACAUGUCGCUAUAAACGUAGAUUCCUCUUUUGUUUACAUGCUGACGUCCAUCCUCUCCUUAUUAUUCCCAGUGUUACUCAGAUUCACGUGAGUCUGUGACAUCGGGGGGGAGUUACUGCUUCUCAUAUCAUUUGCAGCUCUUUGGAUUCCUGUUGACAAGUAUUUCUUGUUUGGUACAGUGUUGUCUCGAGAACAAAGAAUUUGACGUAUAGUUAACCAGAUACUGUACAUCCAAAGAUGUCAGAGAAGCCACCUCCAUACAACCCAUAUGUUGGACCUACACCAGGGCCUCCAAGUACAGUAUACAGUGUUUCUUUCUGUAUAACAUUGUAUGUUGAUAGUUAAAAACCAUUAAAUGACUGAAGCUACA